AGUGAACGCUGGCGGUAGGCCUAACACAUGCAAGUCGAACGGCAGCACAGGAGAGCUUGCUCUCUGGGUGGCGAGUGGCGGACGGGUGAGGAAUACAUCGGAAUCUACUCUGUCGUGGGGGAUAACGUAGGGAAACUUACGCUAAUACCGCAUACGACCUACGGGUGAAAGCAGGGGACCUUCGGGCCUUGCGCGAUUGAAUGAGCAGAUGUCGGAUUAGCUAGUUGGCGGGGGAAAGGCCCACCAAGGCUACGAUCCGUAGCUGGUCUGAGAGGAUGAUCAGCCACACUGGAACUGAGACACGGUCCAGACUCCUACGGUAGGCAGCAGUGGGGAAUAUUGGACAAUGGGCGCAAGCCUGAUCCAGCCAUACCGCGUGGGUGAAGAAGGCCUUCGGGUUGUAAAGCCCUUUUGUUGGGAAAGAAAUCCAGCUGGCUAAUACCCGGUUGGGAUGACGGUACCCAAAGAAUAAGCACCGGCUAACUUCGUGCCAGCCGCCGCCGUAA
rnacentral:rRNA from 1 species